CUCUUAUUCAGAGUGACGGAGAGUAAAGACUCAGUGAAGUCACGGCAACCCCCUAUGGGAAGGUGCUAAGUUGAGCGAGCAAUCGAACAAUGAGAG
rnacentral:ncRNA from 22 species